rnacentral:tRNA from 3 species
GCCGAAGGCCACCUCGGUAAAGCGCGUCCUUGGUAAGGACGAGACCGGGGGUUCAAAUCCCCCCUCAGGCU